rnacentral:rRNA from 1 species
AGUCGGAUGUGAAAGCCCCGGGCUUAACCUGGGAAUUGCAUUCGAUACUGCGUGGCUAGAGUAUGGUAGAGGUAAGUGGAAUUCCAGGUGUAGCGGUGAAUUGCAUAAAUGUCUGGAGGAAUCACCAUUGGCGAAGGACGGCUUACUGGACCAGAAUUGACACUAAGGUACGAAAGCGUGGGUAGCAAACAGGAUUAGAUACCAUGGUAGUCCACGCCCUAAACGAUGUCAAUUAGUUGUUGGGAGCCUUAAUAGCUCUUAGUGACGAAGCUAAAGCGUUAAGUUGACCGCCUGGGGAGUACGGCCGCAAGGUUGAAACUCAAAGGAACAGACGGGGGCCCGCACAAGCGGUGGAGCAUGUGGCUUAAUCCGAUGCUACGCGAAGAACCUUACCAGCCCAUGACAUCCUCGGAACUUACUAGAGAUAGUUUGGUGCCUUCGGGAACCGAGUGACAGGUGCUGCAUGGCUGUCGUCAGCUCGUGUUGUGAGAUGUUGGGUUAAGUCCCGCAAAGAGCGCGACCCUUAUCGUUAGUUGCCAGCACUUCGGGUGGGAACUCUAAGGAGACUGCCGGUGAUAAACCGGAGGAAGGUGGGGAAUGACGUCAAGUCAUCAUGGCCCUUACGGGCUGGGCUACACACGAGGUACAAUGGUCGAUACAGAGGGAAGCAAACUCGCGAGAGCCAGCAAAUCCCAGAAAGCCGAUCUUAGUCCGGAUCGUAG